CCUAGGAGACAAAUCGCAGUUCCAGAAAUUAGUGUCAUCACCAAAGAUGGAUGUGAUAUUAAAAUUCUGUAUCAUGUCAGAGAUCAGGAAUUUUUUUUACACUUUACUCCUUACUGCUUUUAGCAUUUUAACAAGUUUUGCUUGAGAUUUAAUAUUCAGUUCAGUUCUUUAUCCUGAUCAGGGCUGUGAUGGAUUCGGAGCUGGGAAUUUAACCUACAUUGUACACCUGUCCAACUCUGAGCACCAUUAACAAAUUAAUAUAUAAUCACCAUUCAACCCACACGCAUGAUUUUGGGAAGUCAGGAAGUUUUUAUAUUUGAAUUGUAUUUUCAUUUAUGUUAUUAUUAUUGAAUACACUCACACUGACAUCACAGUGAAAAGGAUCAUGUAACGCUCUGCAUAAUAAAGUGAGCUCGGUUAGAAAAGAGCUUUAUACCUUGAACAACCAUACAAUGUUUCUGUUACAAAAAUUUAAGAAUGAAAUCAAGCUAUCAAAUAUGUCUGAAACAUUAAUAAACACUUAUUUACUGAUUAAUGACUGAAACCAGGAUAAAGAGCUUACUGAACCGUCCCUCCUGAAAUUCAUUAAAUUUUAUUUGUGAAAGGGUUUUUGUCUGAAUGCAGGUUGCGAUGAUGUCAGAUGACACAUCUUGGACCAAAUCUGCCAAAAAACUGUGUGGACAAGAACACGCUGCAUCCUCCUCAGUCGAGGCAAGAAAAACAUCCAGGGCCUCCUGAUCUGAGAUGUCCAAAA